rnacentral:rRNA from 1 species
UACAGAGGUCUCAAGCGUUGUUCGGAUUCAUUGGGCGUAAAGGGUGUGUAGGUGGCGCGCUAAGUCGGGUGUGAAAUUUCGGAGCUUAACUCCGAAACUGCAUUCGAUACUGGCGUGCUUGAGGACUGGAGAGGAGACUGGAAUUCAUGGUGUAGCAGUGAAAUGCGUAGAGAUCAUGAGGAAGACCAGUGGCGAAGGCGGGUCUCUGGACAGUUCCUGACGCUGAGGCACGAAGGUCAGGGGGAGCAAAACGGGG